AAUUUUUGUUUCUAGGAAAGGGGACCCAUUACCUAAUGUGAUAAUGACUUUUAGACAACCAAAAAAUGGAAUCAUGGGAAGUUAUAUUGUAUUUUAAAUUAUCUGUGAAAAAUAUGUGUAAUAAAAAAUUCAGCUUCCCCCCCCAUAGAUCUUAAGGCAUAUAAUCCUUUUACUUAUGUGUAAAAUUUUUUGGUUAGUCUAUAUUUUAGGGUGCCCCUUGGUGUAUCACCAAUUUGUUGUUUCAUUUAUGGUAACCUGAGUAGUUGAAUGUUAUGGAAACCGUAUUAUGACGUGAUUGGUUGCAUUGUUGUGGUGAAUUUGACUGAUGGAAAAAUAUUUGUAAGGGCUUAUUUAUGUGUUAGAUGUUGGUUAGAAAGUAUGUUGUUUAUUUUGUGCUUUAUGCCAUAAAAUGCCUGGUGGGGGUACAAUUAACCUGAAGUUUCUGUACACUUUAGAAGAUAAGGAGAUAAAACAUUGAUUGACUGGUGUGUAAAUGAAGAUUUAAAUGGCUUCGUUCACCUCUCGGUAAAUUACGCAGUGAUAUUUAAGGAUUUCGAAACCAGAGCUCAUAUCAACACUACGGAAGGUAAGUGGGAUGUAAUAAAAAGGGAUGUUUGAAAGAUAUGCUACCGAGAGUCCAGCAGUAUGGAGGAUAUUUCUCAUUUUUACUUUUGUGCAUUAAUAUAGCAAUGGCAGUAUACAGAUUCUAGUUUAGAUAAUUUUAAACAAUUUUUGGAUGCUGUCAAGGAAUUCUGUAUGUCUCGCACACCGAAGAAACAGAAAUUUUUAAAUAAGGAAAUUCUGAAUUCUAAACUUCAAACACUGUGUUCUAGAUGUGGUGUCAUUGAAUGUAAGAGACACCAUCCAGAGUUACGUGUAUAUACAUCUAAACCAUGAGUGAACUAAAGUGCCAAAGGAAGUCGACCAAGCAUUUGAAGAAAUCUUUAGACAUUGGAUCUGCUUAGAAAGUUUAGAAGGAUUUGAAGGCAAGAUUUAUAGCCCACGAUACUAGAAGAUUCCAGAAAUAUGUGACAAAAUGAAAAAUGUCUCCACGGUAUUAACACGUAAUGGAUGUAUUUUACAGA
rnacentral:lncRNA from 1 species